rnacentral:rRNA from 1 species
CAGUAGCCGCGGGAAUACGAAGGGGGCUAGCGUUGCUCGGAAUGACUGGGCGUAAAGGGCGCGUAGGCGGCGGCCAAAGUCAGGCGUGAAAUUCCCGGGCUCAACCUGGGGGCUGCGUUUGAUACUUGGUUGCUUGAGUGGGGAAGAGGGUCGUGGAAUUCCCAGUGUAGAGGUGAAAUUCGUAGAUAUUGGGAAGAACACCGGUGGCGAAGGCGGCGACCUGGUCCUUUACUGACGCUGAGGCGCGAAAGCGUGGGGAGCAAACAGGAUUAGAGACCCCCGUAGUCCCUGUCUCUUAUAC